rnacentral:rRNA from 1 species
UACGUAGGGGGCUAGCGUUGUCCGGAAUCAUUGGGCGUAAAGAGCGUGUAGGCGGUCCGGUAAGUCCGCUGUGAAAGUCGGGGGCUCAACCCUCGAAUGCCGGUGGAUACUGUCGGGCUAGAGUGCGGAAGAGGCGAGUGGAAUUCCUGGUGUAGCGGUGAAAUGCGCAGAUAUCAGGAGGAACACCAAUGGCGAAGGCAGCUCGCUGGGACGGUACUGACGCUGAGGCGCGAAAGCGUGGGGAGCAAACAGG